GACGAACGCUGGCGGCGUGCUUAACACAUGCAAGUCGAACGGAAAGGCCCAGCUUGCUGGGUGCUCGAGUGGCGAACGGGUGAGUAACACGUGGGUGACCUGCCCCUAACUUCGGGAUAAGCUCGGGAAACUGGGUCUAAUACCGGAUAGGACAUUCGUUUAGUGUCGGUGGUGUAAAGUUUUUUCGGUUUGGGAUGAGCCCUCGGCCCAUCGGCUCGUUGGUGGGGUAUAGGCCAACCAAGGCGCCGACGGGUGGCCGGCCUGGGAGGGUGGACGGCAACAUGGGGACGAGGAUAGGGCCCAGACCCCAAGGGGGGGCAGCGGGGGGAAGUAUGGAACAAUGGUGGCAGGCGUGUGCAGGAGAGGCGGGGUGGGGAAGGCCGGCCUUGGGGUGGGAAACGUCUUUGCACAGGGACGAGGCUUUGGUGACGGUACCUGUAGAAGAAGCACCGGCUAACUACGUG
rnacentral:rRNA from 1 species